UUGGGGCACUCUGUUGAAUAACCAAGUAUGUUGCAUUUGCUACAGUCCGAAGAUUUCCAACAGCCAAAAGGACUGGUAAUCGUUAUGUAUUAACGAUAACAUUAACACCCAACAAUCAUGUUUGAUGUAAACCUAAGUUUUCCCGACUUUUGAGCCUUAUCUUCCAAUCCAUUUGAGGUAUUAUGUUUCAAGCAACUUGAACUUGUCGGUAUAGUUGUAUUACUUCUUUUUAGCUCUUCCGAGCUAAAGUUAAGAGCCACAUUUCUAUUUUGAGCCGUCUUCUAAACCCUUUGUUUCUUAAACUUGUCGGUAUAGUUAUAUUAUUACUUACUUUUAGCUCUUUGGAGCUAAUGUUAAAAGCUACAUUUCUCUGUUGAACCAUCUUGUGAACCAUUUGUUUAUUUUUUCAUCUCUUUUCUCAGGUUUGAUCGAAUGAAGAGAUUGGAAUUCGUCGGGCAGUACCACAGUGGAGCUGGCCUUCUGGCUUCUAUCGCCGUUACUCAGUUAAUGAUGUCAUUAGCUAACGGUAUUAGGGAAUUAGUCUAAUUUGAAGGAAGAGUGGGCAGUCCUCAACAUAGGGAAAGCAUACAAUUUUUCUGAUGUUCUUGAAAUCUGAUUUUCUAGGAAAUAGGCAUUGAGCUAAAGUGAUGUAAAUUGUGAAACUCUUUAGAAAUCUUUUGUUGUAUGUGUCUUUGCAAAUGAUUUACAGAAUGCAAU
rnacentral:lncRNA from 1 species